CCAUUCAUGUGGGCUCCAUCUUCAUAACCUAAUUGCCUUCCAAAGGCUCAACCUCCAUAUAUCACCCAUUGGGAGUUAGGUUUCAAUGUAUGAAUUUUGGGAGAGGGACACAAACAUUCAGUCCCUAACAACUCUCUCUUUUCUGGGCCUUUGUGGAGGCUGCAUUCUCCACCUGGAUUGGCUUUCUUCCUAUGCUCCCCAUGUGAACUCCUUCCUUUGUUGAAACUCAUAAGUGUCAACUUCACAGUGAAACUUCCCUUGAAGACUUCUCAUUCCCCACCCAUCCAUCCAGAAAGGAUUAAUUUGAUCCCUCUUCUAUUCCCUCAGUACACAGUUCUCAGGGCUUUUAGCACUUGCCACAUUGAGUUUUGACUCUUGGUUUAAUUUUAUUCCCUCCAUUAAACGCUGAACUGCCUAAAGUCAGUGUUGGUCAUUGUUUUAGUCACCUAAUGCUUAGGCUCUAGUGGGUUCUUAAUAAAAUUGUAACAGUAGUCAGUAACAUUCAAUCCCUACAAUAAUUUGAAAGGGAGGGUGUGGUAGAGGUUAAUAUUACAAAAGUGCUCACCAGGGCUUCUGGUUCUCUUCUUGAAGUUAGACGUGGCCACAUGACUUGCUUUAGACAAUGAAAUUUAAGCAGAAGUGAUAGACAUCACCUCUACAUAUAAUUAUCUAAGAACAGGUGCUCUUUCCCCCUGCAAUGGUGGAUGCUAAAGUCUUGUGUUGGGCAGGCAACAUCAUAAGGUAGCGAAGCCUCAGUCACCCUCUGCUGAUCCAUAUUAGACAUAUAGUAUGGGUGAGAAAUAAAGCUCCACUGUGUUAAAUCACUGAUACUUGGUAUUUGUUACUGCAGCAUGACUUAGUCUUUCCUGACUAAUACCAAGAGGGUUUAAUAGUAUCCCCUUUUUAUAAAUGAAGGUCACCCAGAUGAUAGGUAACAGAGUGAGGAUUCAGACUCUGCUGGGUAGGAUGUUAGAGCUUAUCUUCCAGUCCACUGUGAAUAGAGGAGGAAAGAAAUCAAUUUUCUUCCACACUGAGCAUCCCAAUUGCUGCUUCCUUUCCAGCUUCCAACCAUUGUCAGGAAUUGAUAGAGCAGCUAUUCCUUCAGAGAAUAUCUAAGCAAGUUCUCCCAUACCUCCUUCCUAAGUGUGAGCAUCCAGAUGUUCUUUAGGUUGAGAGAUAUGCGCUUAUUAGUAACAGAGCACCAGAGACUACAUUUUCUUUCCCCCACUUCCUCAUGAUCCCUGUGCCAGUGAUCCCUAGGUCUCUGGUAAAGGCCUGAGCCUGUUUUUUUUUUCCCAUAUCUAGACAUCACGAGUCCCUAACACUCCCAAGGUAAGAGUAUCUCUAUAGAAUUGAUCAGUGAUUCCUAUUAUGACCUAAUGGCCAAAUCCUAGGCCUGGGAUUUAUUACUAACCAACCCCUUACCUUACUGCUUUGAGUUUAUCACUUUCCCCAUUGUUUCAGUUUGUCCACUUGUAAAAGAGAAGAAUGAAUUUUUGCAGUCAUCAAAUAAUAAUUGGAAGUGAGCAUGGACGUGAGAAGUCAUGAUUAGCGUACAUAUCAGGGUUAUACAGUUACUAUUAUCUCAUGUAUUUCUCACUACAGCCUUAGGAGAAACACACUAUUCUAUCCUCUGUUUACAGCCAUGGAAACUGCGGCUCAGAGAAGUUAACUAAUUUGCCCAAAGGUAAAACAAAUAAGUUAUGAAGUCAGAGUGAAAACAUGACUUUAAAGACCAUUCUUUUCAAGAGUCAAAUUAGGUUUUACUUAAUAGGGUCCAGAAUGCAUAGUUUUAAAUGUUUAUCUUCAGUGUCCAAAGUCCUCUGAAAAUAUAUGCCUAAAAUACUCUCUUACAGGAAUUACCAUUAAUGUCAUAGUCAGUCAAUGAUAUUUAUAAACUACCCUUUACGACCUACCAAGAAUAAUGAUAAUGACAUUUUACAUUCCAGACACCCUUUCAACUUCUCAAAGUACUGUCCGUAUCUAUUGAUGCAUUUUAUUCUCCCAGAAAUACUUUGAUUCCUCAGAGAUGAGGUCAAAGAAUUUUCCUAGGCAAUUUUAAAGUCUCCUGACUCUUCAUCCAGUAAAAUUUCUUUUGGAAGGAGGAAUGUGUGUUUAUGCAUGUGUGAUUCAAUUAUUUUAUUGAAUGUUUUUAGGUAAGACAAUCAGUGUUUGUGGUAACAAACCAAACUGUACAGAUCUGGUUUUGAGAUGAAUCACUUUCCUCUUUCUUCUUCCAAUCCCACUCUCCUAAAGUUAUCCAUAGCAAUGGAUUGGUCUAUAUUUUCCCGCUACUCCAGAUAACAAAAAUUCAUGGUUUCUAAGACAAUAUCAUAGACUGACUCAUGCAGUAAAGUGUACUUCCUCCAGGACAUCAGAAAGUAUAAUUGUGGUAAUUUUUAGCAUAAGAAUCAUUUUGAGAUUCUCUUACUGACCCUGGAGUCUAUUGCUGCCUCCUUUAUUUAUCCCAUUCCUGAAUCCCUCUCUCUAGCUCUAGGCCUCCCAGCCUGGCCAUUUACAAACUAGGCUCCCAGGAUUAAUUGGCAUUGAUUGCAUUUGAUGUGUUCCCAGUUUCUCACCUACAUGACAUAAUAUCUGUUCAUCCUCAUACUAAAAAUUAUGAACCAAACCCACUCUGUCACCCUAUCCAGAUGCCCCUGAACUUCUGCUGAGAGCAUUUUGUAGUGUCUAAGGAUGACUUUAUAAGAACUUUAAAUAGAGAAUGAAGUCUUGGUAUACACAGCACUCUCUGAUAUGAAUGCAGCACAUCUUCCAUUUAUCCCUUCCUGCCACUCUCCCAACAGUAUAAGAGCGUCUCUUGGGCUCUGUCCUAAAAUUGUUUAACUUACACUCACAUCCCAUCAAUUUUGACAUCAUAAUGUGAUUUGCAUUGAUUUGAGGCUGCCAUCAGGAUGAGCUCAUAACUAUGUCAAAACCUCUGUUGAGUAAAUAAAGAACUGAUUUUGAAUGUGGGGAAUGAUGGAGAAUGGAAAAAUCACAGAAAGAGACCAGAAACAAUACAAGCUCAGUAGGGAAAUUUUAGACAUCAAACAUUUUUUUUUUAAAUACAAAAUACCAAAGGUCACUAGUCUCCCACAUCAAAUACACAGACAGUAUUUUCAAACAAAUCCAUUUCAGUCUGAGUCUUGAAACAAGUCUGAAAUAUGUGAUUUUGCACAAAAGAUUCUGGGACAAUUUUAAAUUUGUUGUUUUUAAAAAAUGAAGGAGGAACUUUUGGGGAUGGCAGAGGAGGGAGGGGAGAAGAAUGGCACCAUCUUUCUCUCCGUUCUCCUUCAGCACAUGGACUUAAACCUAUCCUGAGAGAUUGACAUCAAAAUAACUGAUCAUGAAGAGUAAAAUUCCAGAAUCAUACUCAUCUGCAGGCCUGAGAUGCCACCAGAGAGAGGGGCAAAGUAGGCUCCAAAACGUGGCUGUGUGUCUGUUUUUAAAGGGCUAGCAGCCCCCUUUGUACUCAGUUAAGGCUGCCUGGAGCACCCAUGCUUUACCCAAGAUGCAACUUCUGCAUCUGUCUUGGCAUCAGUUCAACAAGGGAGUGAGAUUUGGCCAAAGGUGGGUGGAAUCAGCCUGAAAGUGUUCCUUCGCCCAUACCAUCCUGACUGAAAAAGGCGGAUGGAGAUUGAAGGUUUUCGGGCUGAGUUCCCGCCGACCUUAACUGGAAGAGCUUGCGCUCUUUCACAUCUGCAGCUGUGUCCUCCUCCGGGAGUUGUCCAGCUAAAUGUGAUUUUAAACAUCUGUCAGCUAAAUCAGAGCUCCAGAUUUAGCACUCGGGAACAUUAUGUGGAUUUGUGAUGCUCGCUGGAGAACACUGGAUCCAAAAACCAAGCUCACAUGAAACAGCCGGGUGGUACUCUGGUUGGUAAUUUCAUCUAUGACGCAUUUAAUUUGCCUGCACAUUUAUGAACGUUAUGUAAAGGGAAAGAGUGACCAUUUCCUUGGAAAUGGUUUUCUGAAUUGCUGCAAGAUCAGUAGCCAGAAGGGAGAAUCUUUACACUGGAACACUGACUGUACUCCCAUCGAAUCAUUUGCAUGCAUGGAAUUUAAAAAAAGAAGUCCCAACACAUUCAUUUUGUCUGAAUUUCCUGAAACUCUAUUUUCCGCCCUUUCUGAUCCAGCUAUAACUUUGCUCAACUGUACCCAUCCUGGAGGAAGAGAAGUUCUGUACACAAAACUACACAUGAUUCCUAGUUGAAAUUGAUAUCUUCGUCUUUGAAAAUAUCAAGCUUGGGAGAAUCAUCCUUGCAUUCCAUUGGGUGCAUGUUUCUGAAGAGAUGGGCUGCUGUUCAGGAGAACCGUGAAGUCAGGUUUUCACUCAAAGACUCUCUCUGCAGAGGCAGUGCUCCUGGAUGUUAGGCUAGAAAUCCUUGUUGCAAAUGAGGGUUUGAAACCCAUUCUAUCAGUUCCUGAGAUCAUGAUGCCUUUGAAGGAAGACAAGUGGAGAAAUAGCCUUGCACCUCAGUGUGGGUUCCCAGUAGAUGAUAUAUCACAGCAGCCUAAAACUUGUGAAUUUGCUUUACUUAGUUUAGUACAAAAAUUCACAGCCUCCAAAGUCUAUUUCUCCAUUAAGCCUUCCCUAGUUCCUCAGUCAGAGAUAGUUACCCUCUUCCUUGAGCUCUCAAGACAGCCUCCCAUCUAGUAUUAAUGUGCAAUGUCAUUAGAGAGUGUCUUCAAAUGCCACUGUGAUCUCUAAGAGGCAGAGGUGAUAUUUAAUUUGUCCUGUAUUCCCAAGAUUAGAAGAGGCCUGUGGACUCUGGCCAAU
rnacentral:lncRNA from 1 species